rnacentral:rRNA from 1 species
GAUGAACGCUAGCUACAGGCUUAACACAUGCAAGUCGAGGGGCAGCAUGAAAGGAACUUCGGUUCUUUUUGAUGGCGACCGGCGCACGGGUGCGUAACGCGUAUCGAACCUGCCUCAUACUCGGGGAUAGCCUUGCGAAAGUAAGAUUAAUACCCGGCGGUCUCGGAUGGCCGCAUGACUAUCCGAGUGAAGAUUUAUCGGUAUGAGAUGGCGAUGCGUCCCAUUAGCUAGUUGGUGAGGUAAUGGCUCACCAAGGCAUCGAUGGGUAGGGGUUCUGAGAGGAAGGUCCCCCACAUUGGAACUGAGACACGGUCCAAACUCCUACGGGAGGCAGCAGUGAGGAAUAUUGGUCAAUGGACGAAAGUCUGAACCAGCCAAGUAGCGUGCAGGAUGACGGCCCUCUGGGUUGUAAACUGCUUUUAGUUGGGAAUAAAAAGAGGGACGUGUCCCUUAUUGUAUGUACCAUCAGAAAAAGGACCGGCUAAUUCCGUGCCAGCAGCCGCGGUAAUACGGAAGGUCCAGGCGUUAUCCGGAUUUAUUGGGUUUAAAGGGAGCGCAGGCGGCGGCGUAAGUCAGUUGUGAAAUCGUGCGGCUUAACCGUGCAAUUGCAGUUGAUACUGCGUCGCUUGAGUGCACACAGGGAUGUUGGAAUUCAUGGUGUAGCGGUGAAAUGCUUAGAUAUCAUGAAGAACUCCGAUCGCGAAGGCAUAUGUCCGGAGUGCAACUGACGCUGAGGCUCGAAAGUGUGGGUAUCAAACAGG